rnacentral:tRNA from 1 species
GUGAUUGUGGCUUAGGGGUAGAGUGCUCGCCUAGCAUGUGUGAGGCCCUGAAUUCAAUCCUCAGCACCACA